rnacentral:lncRNA from 1 species
GCCAGCACUGUGAGUUCCUAGAGUUCCCCGAUGAGCCCCAUUAGGCUGAUACUGUCCUGGAGACAGGAUGCUGCCUACAGAGGUUGCCUUGAGUUUUAUCUACAGGCACAAGACCUACAGGACUUGAAGGGAUGCAGGUGAAUGACUCCAUGGCAUCCAUGUGUAAAAUUCACUGGGGGAAACUGACAUUCAAGAAUGUUUCAGUGAAAAAUUUGGCCUUUGACUGAAGAUGGUCUGCAGCUUUUCCGGUUGUGAGCUCUCUAGCUUUGAAUUUUGGCUUUGCUUCCCCACCCCCCCCAUUACAUUCUCAGUGAGAGAAUGGAUACUCUAGUAUGAUGAUCAAAGCUCACUUUAGAUUUCAUCAUUACCGAUUGGUAAUUAAUUUGCAUUUCAGUGUGUGCUAAGUCACCCAGGAAAUGUUAUCUUCAUCCCAGUCCCAUCUGAAUCUCAAGAAUGACUCAAGAAUUUUGCUUCUUUCCUCAAUGAAGAUGGAAACAAUUUUGCAUUUGUUAUUUUUGCGGGAGCUCCAGCUUGACAAGAAGGUUGCCUGCAUCAGGGAAACCAAAACUGUUGGAAGUGCAACCCUUAAAAACAUUUUGACUCUUCCUAUGAAUGAAAAUGACACCCCACUCCAGUACUCUUGCCUGGAAAAUCCCAUGGACGGAGGAGCCUGGUGGGCUGCAGUCCAUGGGGUCGCUGAGGGUCAAACAUGA